rnacentral:rRNA from 1 species
GAUCAAGCUACUAAGUGCAUAUGGUGAAUGCCUUGGCUAAGACUGUCGAUGAAGGACGUGGUAAGCUGCGUUAAGCGUCGGGGAGGAGCAAACAUCCUUUGAUCCGGCGAUAUCCGAAUGGGGUAACCCAGUAUAGAGUAAUCUAUAUUAUCCGAAAGGAAGGCAACCCGGGGAAGUGAAACAUCUCAGUACCCGGAGGAAAAUAAAUCAACCGAGAUACCGAAAGUAGUGGCGAGCGAAAUCGGUAUAGCCUAAACCUGUGUGUUUACACACAGGGGUUGCAGGACCGCGUAAGUAGAGUUACCAAUCAGAAAAUUAGCCGAACGGUUUGGAAAAUCCGACCAAAGAAGGUGAAAGUCCUGUAAGCGAAAAUUUUCUGACUCGAAGCGGUAUCCUAAGUACCAUCGGACACGUGAAAUCCGGUGGGAAUCCGGGGGGACCACCCUCCAAGGCUAAAUACAAGUCUUAGACCGAUAGUGAACCAGUACCGUGAGGGAAAGGCGAAAAGAACCGCGGGAGCGGAGUGAAAUAGAACCUGAAACCGUAUGCAUACAAGCAGUUCGAGGGUUAUGACGGAAACGCAAGUGACCGUAACGCCUGAGAACGUGCCUGUUGAAGAAUGAUCCGGCGAGUUAUUGGUAGGUGCGAGGUUAAUUAUUAUGUUAACGCAUAUUAAGAAGCCGUAGCGAAAGCAAGUCUGAAAGGGCGAAUAGUACCUAUCAUUAGACCCGAAGCCAAGUGAUCUAUGCCUGGACAGGGUGAAGUCUCUUUAACCGGAGACGGAGGCCCGAAGUGUCGAACGUUGAAAAGUUCUUACAUGAGCUGGGUAUAGGGGUGAAAGGCCAAUCUAACUUGGUGAUAGCUGGUUCUCCUCGAAAUAGCUUUAGGGCUAGCCUGUAGCGUUAAGUCAGAGAGGUAGAGCACUGGAUAGUUUAGCGGGUGUAACCCACUUUGCGAUGCUAACCAAACUCCGAAUUCUUUGAUGUAUUUCUACGGAGUCAGUACGUGUGGGAUAAGCUUCACGUGCAAAAGGGAAACAGCCCAGACCAUCAAUUAAGGUCCCAAAGUAUAUGCUAAGUGGUAAAGGAUGUGGAAUUUCUUAGACAGCUAGGAGGUUGGCUUAGAAGCAGCCACCCUUUAAAGAGUGCGUAACAGCUCACUAGUCAAGUGAUUCUGCGCCGAAAACACCCGGGGCUCAAGCAUAUCACCGAAAUUAUGGAUUCUAUAGCAAUAUAGAGUGGUAGAGGAGCGUUCCCAUUACGCUGAAGGCAUACCGUAAGGAGUGCUGGAGUUGUGGGAAGUGAGGAUGUCGGAAUAAGUAGCGAUAAGAUAGGUGAAAAUCCUAUCCGCCGAAAACCUAAGGUUUCCUUGAGUAAAGUUCGUCUGCUCAGGGUCAGUCGAUCCUAAGCCGAGAGCGAAAGCUGUAGGCGAUGGGUAUCAGGUUAAUAUUCCUGAACUACAUUAAUGCCCGAAUGUGUUUGGUGCGCUUUUCAGUAGGUCAUCAUCCGAUUGGAAGUGGAUGUUGCUCCGCAAGGGGGAGGAUCUGGGGUAACCCGGAGAACUGACUGUAUGGGGAGCCAAGAAAAGCCAAACACCUAUGGUUUUAGUGUAAACGUACCGCAAACGGACACACGUAGGUGGGGUGAAAAUCCUAAGGCGCGCGAGAUAACUUUCGUUUAGGAACUCGGCAUAUUAGCCCCGUAACUUCGGGAUAAGGGG